AUGCAAGUCGAACGGUGAAGCCCAGCUUGCUGGGUGGAUCAGUGGCGAACGGGUGAGUAACACGUGAGCAACCUGCCCUCCACUUCGGGAUAAGCCUUGGAAACGGGGUCUAAUACCGGAUAUGAGCAUCUGCCGCAUGGUGGGUGUUGGAAAGUUUUUCGGUGGGGGAUGGGCUCGCGGCCUAUCAGCUUGUUGGUGGGGUGAUGGCCUACCAAGGCGUCGACGGGUAGCCGGCCUGAGAGGGCGACCGGCCACACUGGGACUGAGACACGGCCCAGACUCCUACGGGAGGCAGCAGUGGGGAAUAUUGCACAAUGGGCGAAAGCCUGAUGCAGCGACGCCGCGUGAGGGAUGACGGCCUUCGGGUUGUAAACCUCUUUCAGCAGGGAAGAAGGCCUUCGGGUGGACGGUACCUGCAGAAGAAGCGCCGGCUAACUACGUGCCAGCAGCCGCGGUAAUACGUAGGGCGCAAGCGUUGUCCGGAAUUAUUGGGCGUAAAGAGCUCGUAGGCGGUCUGUCGCGUCUGGUGUGAAAACCCGAGGCUCAACCUCGGGCUUGCAUCGGGUACGGGCAGACUAGAGUGCGGUAGGGGAGACUGGAAUUCCUGGUGUAGCGGUGGAAUGCGCAGAUAUCAGGAGGAACACCGAUGGCGAAGGCAGGUCUCUGGGCCGCAACUGACGCUGAGGAGCGAAAGCAUGGGGAGCGAACAGGAUUAGAUACCCUGGUAGUCCAUGCCGUAAACGUUGGGCACUAGGUGUGGGGCUCAUUCCACGAGUUCCGUGCCGCAGCUAACGCAUUAAGUGCCCCGCCUGGGGAGUACGGCCGCAAGGCUAAAACUCAAAGGAAUUGACGGGGGCCCGCACAAGCGGCGGAGCAUGCGGAUUAAUUCGAUGCAACGCGAAGAACCUUACCAAGGCUUGACAUGCACCGGACGCUGCCAGAGAUGGUGGUUCCGCAAGGUCGGUGCACAGGUGGUGCAUGGUUGUCGUCAGCUCGUGUCGUGAGAUGUUGGGUUAAGUCCCGCAACGAGCGCAACCCUCGUCCCAUGUUGCCAGCGGGUUAUGCCGGGGACUCAUGGGAGACUGCCGGGGUCAACUCGGAGGAAAGGCGGGGAUGACGUCAAAUCAUCAUGCCCCUUAUGUCUUGGGCUUCACGCAUGCUAC
rnacentral:rRNA from 1 species